GGCAGCAGGGAUAACUUGCAGGUCUGGCAGCAGGGAUAACUUGCAGGUCUUGCAGCAGGGAUAACUUGCAGGUCUGGCAGCAGGGAUAACUUGCAGGUCUGGCAGCAGGGAUAACUUGUAGGUCUGGCAGUAGGGAUAACUUGCAGGUCUGGCAGUAGGGAUAACUUGCAGGUCUGGCAGCAGGGAUAACUUGCAGGUCUGGCAGUAGGGAUAACUUGCAGGUCUGGCAGUAGGGAUAACUUGCAGGUCUGGCAGCAGGGAUAACUUGCAGGUCUGGCAGUAGGGAUAACUUGCAGGUCUGGCAGCAGGGAUAACUUGCAGGUCUGGCAGCAGGGAUAACUUGCAGGUCUGGCAGCAGGGAUAACUUG